AUUUAUAUUUAUUUAAAAGGAUUUAUAUUUUUGGAGUAAAAAAAUGGGUUGGAAAAGACCCUAAACCCUAAGACGCGCCCCGCCCCCCCAAUCUUCUUCUUCUUCUUCUUCUCUCCUCUUCCUUUUCGUUCAACGUCAACCAGCAGCCGUGUAUCUCCACGUCUGUCGGCCAGACCUGUCUCUGUUGUGAAGUCGGCAGCCGUGUGGUGGAGCAUUUGGCAUCGCAUCUUCGGUUCUUCUCCUGUCACUCGUUCGUCGAUCGCCGGCUGUCUCUGACCUCAGUCGAGCGCUGUCGAUCACCCUCCGACCUCGUUUGACCGUGUCUGUCGAUGCCCAGCCACCUUUCGCCUCAUCAUGUAGCCAAGCAACCGUCGACAAGCCCCCCAACGAUCGUGUAUCUCCAUUUUCGCAAGCGCCUACGCGAAGCCGAGCCGAGAAUUGAGUCGAGCCGAGCCGAGAAUUGGGCCAAGCCGAGCCGAGAAUUGAGUCGUGAGCCGAAUUGAGCCGAGCCGUGAGCUGAGAAUUGAGCCGAGCGAGCCACUCCCAAGCCAAGCCGAACUCCCUGUUCACCGAGCCACCUAAGCCAUUUUCUUUCCACGUCGGGUCACGGUGUUAGAGAAGUGGCACUCGAGUUCUUGGGGUUUCACGGCAGACUUAGUUGGAGAUAGCCCUCCUUUACUCGAGUGGAUUCGUGUGGACGUCGAAUUGAACAAGGAUUUUAGCUACAUUUCAAGUAAGGGACUUCUACUACUGGACUCAGUUUUAGAUUGGCACGUAUUGACUGAUAUGAGAAUUAUAAUAUAAUGACUGUACUGUUCGACUGUUUGUAUAAACCAAAAAGGUAUUGCCAAGUUAUGCUUUCGACUGAGUAUAAUCAUAUGACUGCUAUAUGUAGUCUAGUUAUAAUGAUGGGUUGUGCCGUCGAUUGAGUUUAGAUGUUUGGACCGUUAUGAGUGGUUUAUAUAUAUAUAUCAUCUAUAUUGAUGGGUUAUAUUAUUGGUAGAGUGUAAAUGACUUUGGCUGUUAUAUGCAGUUAUAUAUACUGAUGGGUUGUAUUGUUAAUGGAGUAGUGAUGUUUGAGCGGUCAUGUGUAGUUUGUGCAUACGGUCGGACUAUGCUGUUGAUGGAGUAUGGGUUCUGGACUAUAGUGUAUAGUUGUAUAUACUGAUGAACUGUGUUGUAGACUGAACAUAGGCGUGAUGCAUAGUUUACUUAUCUUUUUCGAGUUAAGCUGUUAAGGGGGAUAAGUAGUAACUCAAAUAAGGGUUGCACAAUAACGACUGCACUUAAGUGACUGAUGCACGUAUGCCUAGACGCACCACUAGUGUGUACUUGGUGACAUGAUUAUUAGUUGUAACUUAUAUAUAUAUGUUAAUGGGUUGUUCUGUUGAUGGAGUACGGACGCCUGGAUGUUUCAUGUGAUAUAGUUAUAUUGAUGGGUCGUGCUGUUAACCAAAAUAGUAAUGUCGUUGAAUUAUGAAAAUCUUGAUGUUAUGUAUAGUUGAAGAAUGUUGGUUGCUCAUUAUUGAGUUAUGUAGUUGAUGGACUAAGGUUCGGAAACCUCAUGUAUAGACUGUGUACUCACUGAUGGAUUGUACUGUAGAUUGAAUGGGAACGUUAAGCAAAAUAGGGACAUUAUGCAUAAUAUAGUUUAUUUGUAAUUGUGCUAGCGCUUGGACUGAGACGAAAUGAUUGUCAGGUGUAUUUACCUAGAGAUGAUUGAUUCGUUGACUGGAUUUAGAAAAGGUGACGGUAUUACGUGGAUUGGAUUUAUGUAUAGCGACUGAUGAGACUGUUGACUAAACCUAAACGGUCUGAAUGACUAAGCUUAUGAACUGAAUUGUUAGCUUGAACGAUGUUGUGAUGUGACUGUUGUAGACGGUUAAGAAUGGACUGAGGGGUAACGGUUAACUUUAUCUAUGGGGUAGUGUACCUUACAGACACGGUGUCCUUUGGGAUCAUUAGACUGAUAUGUGCGUCCUCCGGGAUCACUAGACUGAUAUAUGUGUCAUCCGAGAUCACUGGACUGAUAUGUGCGUCCUUCGGGAUCACUAGACUGAUAUGUGCAUUAUUUGGGAUCACUAGACUGAUAUGUGCAUCAUUCGUGGUCACUAGAUUGAUAUGUGCAUCCUUCGGGGUCACUAGACUGAUAUGUGCAUCCUUCGGGGUCACUCAACUGAUAUGUGCAUCCUUCGGGAUCACUCGACUGAUUGAUGUGUGCAUUCUACGAAACCACUUAAUAGGAAGCUAACCGUUAUUACCCUAACGGGCCCAGUAGUGGGUCUUUUACUGGGUAUAUUUUUAUA